GGAUUAUAUUUAAAAUUAAAGAAUUUGGCGGUGCCUUAUCCUUAUAGAGGAACUUGUCCUUUGAUCGAUAGUCCCCGUUAAAUCUAACCUUAUCUAAAGUUUAUAUACCGUUGUUGUUAGAUUACUUGGCAGAUGAUUUAUGAGUUUUCUUGAUAAAAUUUGUUUUAUGACUUCAAAUCAAGGUGUAGUAGAUGGUAGGGGUUGAGAUGAGUUACUUUGGGUAUGAGAUAGAGGACUAGAUGCAAUUCUUUUUUGUUAUAGGAUUUAUAAGUAAAUUUUUAUUAGUAAAAUAAAUUGAAAGGGGGUCUGGGGCAUGUACAUAUCGCCCGUCACUCUGGUUUUAAUAUCGGAUAAGUCGUAACAAAGUAGGUGUAAGGGAACUUGCCCCUAGAUGA
rnacentral:rRNA from 1 species